rnacentral:tRNA from 1 species
UCUCUGGUAGUCUAGUGGGUAGGACUCAGCGCUUUCACUGCUGUGGCCUGGGAUUAGUUCCUGGUCCGGGAA